UGCCAGCCGCCGCGGUAAGACGUAGGAUGCGAGCGUUGUCUGGGAUUAUUGGGCGUAAAGCGUACGUAGGCGGUCAUCAAGUCUGGGGUUAAAGACCAAGGCUCAACCUUGGGAGUGCCCUGGAUACUGGGUGACUGGAGGACGGCAGAGGAAAGUGGAAUUCCCAGUGUAGCGGUGAAAUGCGUAGAUAUUGGGAGGAACACCAGUGGCGAAAGCGACUUUCUGGGCCGUUCCUGACGCUGAGGUACGAAAGCCAGGGGAGCAAACGGGAUUAGAUA
rnacentral:rRNA from 1 species